AAAUACGCGGCGGUCUCUCCUCCCAGAUCCCGUCGCACCCUAAAAUUGUCGGGCCUCUCCUCCUCCCUGGUUCCGACAAUUGCAAAGGCGGCGGUCCCAUCCUCCCGGGGCCGCCGUUUUUU
rnacentral:sRNA from 1 species